UACAGAGGGUGCAAGCGUUAAUCGGAAUUACUGGGCGUAAAGCGUGCGUAGACGGUUGCGUAAGUCAGAUGUGAAAGCCCCGGGCUCAACCUGGGAAUUGCAUUUGAGACUGCGUAGCUAGGGUGCGGAAGAGGGAAGCGGAAUUUCCGGUGUAGCGGGUGAAACUGCGUAGAUAUCGGAAGGAACACCAGUGGCGAAAGCGGCUUCCUGGUCCAGCACCGACGUCAGGCACGAAAGCGUGGGGAGCAAACAGG
rnacentral:rRNA from 1 species